UAUAAUUUAAAAUCUAAUGAUAAAUGCAUUGGAUUGAGAUUUAAAUUGUUAACAAUGUUUUAAAUCUCAGCCUUUUCUUUUAAGUAUCGGAACUUCAGUAAAUGAUUGGAAUAAUCAAUCAUCGGAAGGUUUAAUUGCUAAGGGAAAUCGGUAAUUCAUAAAAGCUGAGCACAUCUUUUGCUCAAUUUCAUGUAAAUAACUGAAAAAAACAAAUGAAAUUGACAUUAACUGAGUCCAUCAGUUUGAAUUAAUAGAAGGUUUGAAUUAAUAGAAGAUAAAUGAUAACAAUUAGCACGGUUUUGUGCAAUACGAUUUAUCAAUUAGUUACUGUUACUUGCAUUAGUUUAUGAUUCGGGUAAAAACCUGACAAUCUUAUUUACAAGAAUGCUUGUCAAGUUACAAGCUCAUGUUUAUUGAUUAUGGGUUAAGUAAUCAGUUAAAUCAUCAACUAUUGACUUCUAAAUCCUAAUGGCAAAGUUGAUUACAGUCACUCGAUUAGUAAUUCAGUCAACGUGAUCAAUGUUUUUAUAUCAAUUGCAGUUAGAUUUUGUUUCUGUGUUUCUUCAAAGAUGGACAGUUAAUAAAACAAUUAAAAAAACAGUUAAAAAGGUUAAAGGCUAAUUGUGUACAUUCAACUGUAAACAUGUCAGGGUCAGUGUUAAAUAAUUGAAAACUGAUCAACAAACAACAACAAUUUAAGACUAAUGCAACAUCAAUAAUGGAUUGCGGAUUAGCAUAUAAAUAUUGAAAAGGUUGAACAGUUUGAUUGACCUGAUCAGGUAGUUUCAACGUAAAAUAAAUGUUAAUAUUGCAUCAACUUGAACCAAGUAAAAGAUCAUUUCACUUUUAAUUUGAAACGUAAAUUAACUGUGAUUUUCAUCAUUAGCAUCAUCUUUAAUCUCUUGAUUAGUUCAAGUUGUAAAGGUUAACUGUGAAUUUUGUUUUAAAGGUGAAGGCUAAUAACAAUCAAGAGAAACAAUUGAAUCAAUAACCUUUUGGUUUGUUGUCAAAAAUGGCUAAACAUUAACAUGAAAGGUAAAAUAAGUCAAGUAAAACUGAUGAAAGGGUAAAACAAAAUGGAUAACAAAAAGAAGGUUAAAUUGUUGAUAAAUUGAUCAACAAGGUUUAACCUAUUACUUUAAUAGAGUGAAAUUAAAGCGGAAGUUUUCAUGAUAAUCUCAUUGGACUCGUCAUUGGAUUUGAAAUAAUACAAAUAAACAUUAAAACUUGUCAUAGUUACAAGACCUUCAAUCAUUUUCUUGGUUUAAUUGUUGUUGUAUUGUUUAUUGUUGAUAGUUUAAUCAUCAUCAACAUGACCAUCGAUCAAGACAAGAAUUGAAAGUGAAGCUGAACAAUUAACAAGUGAAAACAGAUUUGAUUGUAAAUCACAAAAUUGGGUGAAAAAUUGUUAACAAAGUAAAUGGACUUUAACUAUAAGAAAUGAUUGGAUUGAAUCUAAAUCUAAAUCAAUGGUAAAAAAAAUUGAAUUCAACUUUUACUUUCACGUUUCCAUCAAAACUCAUUUCCUGACCUCAUCUUGAUUUGGGAAACCCGAAAGGUCAUCAAAAAAUUACCGUUUAUAAAAGCAAAAAAUGAACCAACAAGUUAUUUGAAAGCAUCAAUAAUAGUGUUUAAAUCAAGUUGAUCGGAUGAUGAUCAUAUUGAUUAUGAUGAUAAUUAUGAAACCAUUUACUCCGCCUUCAUAAAAUGACCUUAACUAAGGAUAAGCCAAUGACCAGGUUGAAGGUGGGAAAUUAAGUUCAUUAAUAGGAUAAGAAACAGUGAAAGUCUACAAAACUGUUGAGAGGGAAAGUGUAUUAUUAUUGUCAUUAUAUUAACAUUACUAUUGUGUGAAUUACAUUGGCCUAAAUAAUGGUCAAAAUGUAUCUUUCCUUCUCGGUCAUCUGAUUGACCAUAAAAAUGCUCCUCAUCGCUUCAAGUUAGCCUUACAAAACGUUUUACCUUCAACAAGGUAACUACAAAAUAUUGGAUAUUAUUUAAGUUGACUUUUGAACGAUAUUUUAUACACUUUAACUGAUCUUUUUCAUUUCAACAAUUUCAUAUUUACUUGUUUGUUAAUCUAGUAAAAUUAGUUAAUUAGUGCAAUCAACUGACUAUGGAUCAACGUUACAUUAUUUUGGCCUGUUUUUUGUGUUUCCUUCUCUUGGUAACCAUUGAUGAAACUGGUUUAGUUGAAGGUAAAAAACACAAGCUUUUUGGUAAAAUAAUCAAGAAAAAAAUCUUCAAAUCACUGAAAAAGAAAAAGUUUAUUCCUUUGCCAAUUCCAAUUCCAUUUAAGAGUGGAUUCAAUGUUCAUCAUCAUCAUCACUACUCAUCAUGGCAACAACCUCAUCACAUGAGCUUUGGUGGCGGUGGAGGAGGUUGGUGGUGAUCGAGUUAAUCAUUUUAACCAACUGAAUCAAGGAUCACAAAUGGCCAAACAAUUAUAAUCAAUGAAACAAUUAGGUACACAAAUGUAAAUAAAACUACUCAAUGAAGGAACAGGUUUCUCCAAUAAGUUAAACUUUGAUUGCGAUAAUAAUCAUUUACGUUUGAAAAUUGUCAUGUAAUUUUGUUUAACCAUUUUAUUAAAACAAUUUAAUUUAACUGAAAACUCAACUCGUCUUUUUUUGAACAAAAAAUUGGCUAUUUUUAGCUGUUUUCAACGAGAUUUCAGUUUACUUUAUCGUUCAUGUUACUAUUGGCAAGAUAAGGAUUGUGAAUGUUUGCCAAAAAUUAAUUACUUCCGAUUUUUAAUUCAAUUAGUAAAGGUCAGUGCUAUUGUAUUGAUAUUUGUCAGCUAUUUAAGGAGUUAUUUGGUUAUUGUUAACCACGCAAGAAUCAGUGUUUCAAUCAAUGUUUCAAUCAGUUUUUUCAAUGAAUACAAAUAAUGUAUUUUGUGAAAAAAAAAACAAAGGACAAGGUGAGAUGAUUAAGCGUCAAUUAUAAUUGUCACCUUGAUUGUGAGCUUUUUAUUUUACCAUUCAACUCAAUUGAAAAGGUAAAUCAAAUACAGGAAUAACAUUUGUUUCGAAAUAAAUCAUUACCAGAAUCACAAUCAAUGACAAGACUUGGUAAUGCAAUCGGAAUAGUCAACGUUAAAACUAAAAUUAACAUUUGAUUAAAAGUGAAAUAAUUUGAUUUUUAAAUGAAAUUCUAAUUUCAGAGUGAAAUACAAAGAGUUGAUUGUAUUAUCUGAGCUCAACGAUUGAAGCUCUUGAAUUGAUUGGAAAAUUUUGUUAACAAUUAUUUUAUUUGAACCAGGAAGAUGAAAUAAGAUUCAAUAGUAAUCUGAUAAACGAGUUAAUUUAGGAAACAAUUAAUCCAAGAGUUAGAGCAAAGUGCAAAUAAAGCUUAAAUUGAGAUCUAAGUAAACAUUAGGCUUGUUGAUCAAAUAAUGAUCAAAAUUUGCCAUUUCCAGAUAAUAAAGUCUUGCAUUUGAUAAUGAUGAUCAUAGUAGCUUGAGAUUGGCGAAAAAUUGAUUUUAAAAUCAAGUUUACAGGUUAAUUAGAUUAAAAUGAUUAAAAUCAACCUACAAAAGUAUCUCUAUGUGGCUGAGAAAUGAACAAUUACAACUAGCUGUGCAUUAAACAAUUGACUUGAUAAGUUAAUCAUUGUUAUCAUUGGGUUGAUUGUUGAUUGUUGAUCAAAUAACGCAAAUGAAAAGGUCAACAUUGUAUAACCAAAGCCUACACAAAAAUUAUCAUUAUUGUGUGAGAUAUGAGUUUGGCUGCUUGUUACGUUAAUUGUAGGUCACAUUGGGUGUCUGCAAUUAAACUACGCAUAAUGAUUAAGAAGGUGAAAGUUGUUAUGAUUUAUGGGAUUGAUGAAUCAGAGAGAUGAUUGAAGAUGAAUUGAUUGUCACAAUAUCCGGGUUGAUUUGGAGGAUUAACCCAAUCAAUUUAAAACAGACUGACCAACAAUUAAACCCGCAUUGGGCAAAUUGAUGAAAAUGAUGAGUGCGAAUCAAACCAUCAACCAGGAGGUUACUAACAACAAGCUUAAUUACAUAAGCAUUAGUGGUAAAUGUAAUUGAUAAAUUGCUAACAGUAGCUCAGCGUGUUUACAGAUUUGUUUUGUUUCAAUCGUCUUCCGAGCCAAUUUAACCUUUUUUUACCAACAUCAUCAUUAUCACCAAAUAAUGAAUUGAUGAAUUCAGGACAAUUGAAAUUUUUACUUGAAACAAACAAACAAUAAUAAAGGGUAAAGUAGCCUUUCAAUUUUACAGCAAUUGAUAGUUUGAUAUUGUAUUUGCUAAGUAAACAUAAAUCAAUCUGUUAAUUCCUAUCGAUUAUGAGAAAAUAAUAAAACUAAAUUGAAUAAGAUGAUGGUAAUGAUGAUGAGGGAUAAUGAAGGAGCAAUAGUUGUAAUACAAGUUACAAUAAAAAUGUUUUCAUCUUCGGAUAGUCCGGCCCUAUUCAAUAGUGAAACUAAUAUACAAAUGACAAGAGAAUCAUGAUAUUGGGGUGAGAUGAUGAUGGAAGGAGGAUGAGGAGGGAUUAAUAGAAAAGUGAAAUGUCCAUCCUUAUGGAUACGAUCGGACAAUUGGAUGGACUUUUAUGAUUAACGAAAGAUGCACAUUGAAGGAGGCUUUGAGGCUUCCUUUUUUUGGCUUUAUAUAAAUAUGAUGGACUAAAUCAAUAGUCAUUUCAAUAUAAAUUUCAAUUUGAUUCAAGUAAUUUUUACUUUCAAUAUUCAAUUUGUGGCUACUUUAACCAGGAUUUAUUGGCCAGUUAUCAACGUUACGUCUAAAUCAGUGAAUACUCAAUAAUUGUGAUUGUUCAUCAGCUAUACAUUCGUGUUCAAUAUUUUGUUUUAUUUACGGUGUUUAGUGACAAUAUUUUAUUUAUAUUUUCCCUUUGCAUUUCUAUUUUUCAUUUUUUCAUUUCUAUUGAUUCAAAUUGAUAUUCAAAAUGAACAAGCAAUCUUUGAUUCUUCAUUUAACUCUUGCUGUUAUAUUGGUUACUCUCAUUUAUCCCUAUCAAGUUCAUGGAUUCAAGAAAAUUUUCUACAAAAAGCUAAUCAAAGCUGGAAUCUUGGGAAAACUUUUACUUGGAGGGAAAAAAGUUAUCAUUGCAUUCCCAAUGCCAAUACCAAUACGGCAUGAAAUGUCCUCACCCUGGAGUGGCGGUAGUGUUGGUUUUGCAGGUAAUGGAGGUGGUAAUUGGCCAAGUAUGUGGAGCGGAGGGUGGGAGUCACCAUCAUCACCUUGGUCUUUUUAACCUCCAAAUGAAAUGAGUAAUGUAUUAAUAAUAAUACCUGAUAAUUGUACAAUCUCUUCCUUUCUUUAAUACAUAGCUGUAAUGGCAUGUUACUCUGAAACAAUUUUGUAACUCUAAUUUGAAUAUUUGCUAAAUUAACAUGAAAAACGCUCAAGAAAAGCAAAAAAUAAAGUAAUACAUUUCAUUUUUCCUCGUCUUCUUCCGUGAUUCUUUCUUCAAAUGUCAACAUCAUGUCCAUUGCUAUUAAAUUCAUGGUUCAAAAUUACUUGUUACCAAUUUGUUAAUACACUUUACACUUUUUUAAAUUACUGGGGUCAAUGCAACAGUCUUUCAAUUUUAGCCUUAACAGCCAAGUCUAAGUGCAUUAUACUGAAUAGCCAUAUGAAAAAAACUAGCAAUUAAUGUAAUAAAGACAAAGUAUCAAGGUAAAUUUUAGGUAAAACACUGAGAAAAUUAAAGGUUAGAGACUUUAAGAAGGCUGAAAUAAUGGCUUUGUUUACCGAGAAAAAAAAACUUAACCGACUCUGGGUUAAUUAAAUAUAUGAUAUUCUGGUUUUUAUCAUUUACAGGAAAUUGGUAUGAAAAAAUUAAAGGAACCGU